GUAGAUAUAUGGAGGAACACCAGUGGCGAAGGCGGCUCUCUGGUCUGUAACUGACGCUGAGGCUCGAAAGCGUGGGGAGCGAACAGGAUUAGAUACCCUGGUAGUCCAUGCCGUAAACGAUGAGUGCUAAGUGUUGGAGGGUUUCCGCCCUUCAGUGCUGCAGCAAACGCAUUAAGCACUCCGCCUGGGGAGUACGACCGCAAGGUUGAAACUCAAAGGAAUUGACGGGGGCCCGCACAAGCGGUGGAGCAUGUGGUUUAAUUCGAAGCAACGCGAAGAACCUUACCAGGUCUUGACAUCCUUUGACCACUCUAGAGAUAGAGCUUCCCCUUCGGGGGCAAAGUGACAGGUGGUGCAUGGUUGUCGUCAGCUCGUGUCGUGAGAUGUUGGGUUAAGUCCCGCAACGAGCGCAACCCUUAUUGUUAGUUGCCAUCAUUUAGUUGGGCACUCUAGCGAGACUGCCGGUGACAAACCGGAGGAAGGUGGGGAUGACGUCAAAUCAUCAUGCCCCUUAUGACCUGGGCUACACACGUGCUACAAUGGGAAGUACAACGAGUUGCGAAGUCGCGAGGCUAAGCUAAUCUCUUAAAGCUUCUCUCAGUUCGGAUUGUAGGCUGCAACUCGCCUACAUGAAGCCGGAAUCGCUAGUAAUCGCGGAUCAGCACGCCGCGGUGAAUACGUUCCCGGGCCUUGCACACACCGCCCG
rnacentral:rRNA from 1 species